rnacentral:rRNA from 1 species
UACGUAGGGUGCGAGCGUUAAUCGGAAUUACUGGGCGUAAAGCGUGCGCAGGCGGUUUUGUAAGCCAGAUGUGAAAUCCCCGGGCUUAACCUGGGAAUGGCAUUUGGGACUGCAAGGCUGGAGUGUGGCAGAGGAGGCUGGAAUUCCUGGUGUAGCAGUGAAAUGCGUAGAUAUCAGGAGGAAUACCGAUGGCGAAGGCAGGUCUCUGGGCUGACACUGACGCUCAUGCACGAAAGCGUGGGGAGCAAACAGG